UACGGAGGGAGCUAGCGUUGUUCGGAAUUACUGGGCGUAAAGAGCGUGUAGGCGGCUAGAUAGGUCCGUUGUGAAAACUCGAGGCUCAACCUCGAGACGCCGGUGGAAACCAUCUAGCUAGAGUCCGGAAGAGGAGAGUGGAAUUCCUGGUGUAGCGGUGAAAUGCGCAGAUAUCAGGAAGAACACCCGUGGCGAAGGCGGCUCUCUGGUACGUGACUGACGCUGAGACGAGAAAGCGUGGGGAGCGAACAGG
rnacentral:rRNA from 1 species